rnacentral:misc_RNA from 1 species
ACACAUCUUUCCUGUCACCUCCCUUCAGCAUCAAGGAUUUUAAUGAAAUAGGUUAUCAUAAUCGCUGGAUUAAAACUAUCAUGGAGAGUAAUGAUUGACAACAUAUUUGUUGUAAAAACUUAUCUGAAUAAGGUUGCAAAAAUUCCUAACCAUCCAUAACACCAAGAAAUCUUGAUGCGCAUGUAACUGUGAUCCACUAAUUCUCUAUACAUUUAAAGUCAAUAAUGUGUUCAUUUUGUCAAACUCUAAUGUACCCUUAGAAAGGUGUUAUCAAUAAAGCUUUAAAGUCAAUGAGCCAUUUUUCAAGUCACUGACCAACUCUACAACUCCACUCAAUCAAUAAAUAGAUUUCCGGCAAUAUGGAGUGGCCGCUGGAUAUACUAAACCAUUUGUUACUCAGAGCAAUAUCCUCCGAUGAAAAGUUCAAACAAAAUUGGAUUCAUGAACAAAUGGAAUAGAUAAUAACGUAAUCAUUUUCAUACUAAAAAUGACCAACAAUUACCUAAAUACAUAAUCGGGUUAGUACUUAUUAAACGCAUAUAAUAAAACUGACCUAGAACUAAAGUUAAUUACACAAUCUUCUAAGGGACAGCAAAUUCGCGUCGCGAAAGCUAUACCAGCUGCCACAUAUACAAAAGAGUGACUUGAACGGGGACUAAUAUACCUUCCAUGUAGCAAAUUUCUCAGAGACCAAACAGAAAAUAAAGAAAUGUGAGGAUGAGAAUAUAUAUAGAAAGUGCAAAGCGAAAGAUCACCUGAGUGGCGAAAUCCUCGAGAA